GAAGACUAAGAAGCUUCCACCAGUAUGGAAAUAGUGAGUAUAUUCCCCUCUGCCUGAACUUUUAACUGAUAAUUUCAGCAUGGAUAAGCUGCGUUUACCUACAAAUGUUAAUCAUCUUGGUAUUGGUUAUUCUGUAUCCAGUGGAAAGAUUUUAAUUAACUAGUAUAGUUAUUGCAAUAUAAUAUUUUGCAAUGUGCUGCUUCUUGCAUCUUAUCUGAAAAAUAUUUCAGAUUCAGAAUGGUGCAUCUGAUAGAAGUUGGCAAAUGCUAAGGCAGGAAUUCCCUGUAUAUUAGUUGGGAUGGUACAUGAAUUAGCAAUCAAUUAAUAGGAUUUGAUAAUAGAGUGACAUAUUUCCAUAAUAAAAGAAACCAGUAGUUUCUUUAUUGUUGCUGUACUAAGUCAACAUUUGUUAACAUGUUACUUUGUAGAUGUAUGUGUAUGAUGAAUAUUUUCCUAAUCUUGGAGGCAAAAUUGGAAUUGUUACACUUAAUUCAAUAGGCUAUUGUAUAAUUAAAGCUUUAAAAGGAUUGGAUAUAUCUGAAAAGUUGUAUGUCUGUAAUCUGUGUCCAGUAUCAUGUCUUUUAAGUAUGGCAUUUCCAGUGUCCUUCUGAUCUUACAGAGAGCAACAUUCACUUUUUUAUACUAGUUUCCCCGACUUUGUUGUUUAAUUGGAAUCAUGAAUAGCCUCAUAACCCCUUGUAUGGUAAUUUAAGUAUACUGUUUCAUAGUCCUCUUAGCUAAUGGAGUUGCCUCUCUUUCUGCAGUGAAUCAACCACCGCCAGCACCCU
rnacentral:misc_RNA from 1 species